AUUGAACGCUGGCGGCAGGCCUAACACAUGCAAGUCGAACGAGUGGCGGACGGGUGAGCAAUGUCUGGGACACUGCCUGAUGGAGGGGGAUAACUACUGGAAACGGUAGCUACUACCGCAUACCAUCAGAUGUGCCCAGAUGGGAUUAGCUAGUUGGUUGGGUAACGGCUCACAAAGGCGACGAUCCCUAGCUGGUCUGAGAGGAUGACCAGCGACACUGGAACUGAAACACGGUCCAGAGUCCUACGGGAGGGAGCAGUGGGGAAUAUUGAACAAUGGGCGCAAGCCUGAUGAAGCCAUGCCGCGUGUAUGAAGAAGGCCUUCGGGUUGUAAAGUACUGUCAGCGGGGAGGCGUUACCCGCAGAAGAAGCACCGGCUAACUCCGUGCCAGCAGCCGCGGUAAUAC
rnacentral:rRNA from 1 species